CAAUUGCCUCACUUAGGGUUUGGUUAAUAUCACAAGGUUCAAUAGGCAUAAUAGAAACCAUUUUCAUUCUCUAACAAAACUAAAUUCUAACUCUGAUAUUCGUAGCUCGAUUGGGAUUUUCAUUUACAUUUUCAUUUCAUUUCCAUUUCAACAUAUUUCGACCGACAUCCGCUGCUAUUAAUUGGCGUAGAGCACACGUCUAACUCGUCAUUUUGUAAUUUCAAAAUUUCGCAAUCGAAUUGCUGUGCUCUGUAACCCUAAGCACUUAACAUCUAGUAUUGCCUCCAUUGCACUGACUCAUGGGAACAGCUACUCGCUACUAUAACAACAUUUGAUUACAACAGAUUAGUAGAUGGAGUGUGUGUGUGUGUGUGUGUGUGUUGUGCGUGUGUGUGUGUUGUGUGUGUGUGU